UACGUAGGGGGCGAGCGUUGUCCGGAUUUAUUGGGCGUAAAGGGCUCGUAGGCGGCUCAGUAAGUCGGGUGUGAAACCUCCAGGCUCAACCUGGAGACGCCACUCGAUACUGCUGUGGCUAGAGUCCGGUAGGGGAGCAUGGAAUUCCUGGUGUAGCGGUGAAAUGCGCAGAUAUCAGGAGGAACACCAGUGGCGAAGGCGGUGCUCUGGGCCGGAACUGACGCUGAUGAGCGAAAGCGUGGGGAGCAAACAGG
rnacentral:rRNA from 1 species